AGGGAGCGUAGGCGGCAUGUCAAGCCAGAUGUGAAAGCCCGGGGCUUAACCCCGAGGAUUGCAUUUGGAACUGGCAAGCUAGAGUACAGGAGAGGAAAGCGGAAUUCCUAGUGUAGCGGUGAAAUGCGUAGAUAUUAGGAAGAACACCAGUGGCGAAGGCGGCUUUCUGGACUGAAACUGACGCUGAGGCUCGAAAGCGUGGGGAGCAAACAGGAUUAGAUACCCUGGUAGUCCACGCCGUAAACGAUGAGUGCUAGGUGUUGGGGAGGAAUCCUCGGUGCCGCAGCUAACGCAAUAAGCACUCCACCUGGGGAGUACGACCGCAAGGUUGAAACUCAAAGGAAUUGACGGGGGCCCGCACAAGCGGUGGAGCAUGUGGUUUAAUUCGAAGCAACGCGAAGAACCUUACCAAGGCUUGACAUCCCGAUGACCGCUUCAGAGAUGAAGCUUCUCUUCGGAGCAUCGGUGACAGGUGGUGCAUGGUUGUCGUCAGCUCGUGUCGUGAGAUGUUGGGUUAAGUCCCGCAACGAGCGCAACCCUUAUCUUCAGUAGCCAUCAUUCAGUUGGGCACUCUGGAGAGACUGCCGUGGAUAACACGGAGGAAGGUGGGGAUGACGUCAAAUCAUCAUGCCCCUUAUGUCUUGGGCUACACACGUGCUACAAUGGCUGGUAACAAAGUGACGCAGAACGGCGACGUCGAGCAAAUCACAAAAACCCAGUCCCAGUUCGGAUUGUAGUCUGCAACUCGACUACAUGAAGCUGGAAUCGCUAGUAAUCGCGAAUCAGAAUGU
rnacentral:rRNA from 1 species